rnacentral:ncRNA from 3 species
UAGGUGAACCUGCGGAAGGAUCAUUAA